rnacentral:rRNA from 1 species
AGUGAACGCUGGCGGUAGGCCUAACACAUGCAAGUCGAACGGCAGCACAGAGGGGCUUGCUCCUUGGGUGGCGAGUGGCGGACGGGUGGGGAAUACAUCGGAAUCUACUCUGUCGUGGGGGAUAACGUAGGGAAACUUACGCUAAUACCGCAUACGACCUACGGGUGAAAGCAGGGGAUCUUCGGACCUUGCGCGAUUGAAUGAGCCGAUGUCGGAUUAGCUAGUUGGCGGGGUAAAGGCCCACCAAGGCGACGAUCCGUAGCUGGUCUGAGAGGAUGAUCAGCCACACUGGAACUGAGACACGGUCCAGACUCCUACGGGAGGCAGCAGUGGGGAAUAUUGGACAAUGGGCGCAAGCCUGAUCCAGCCAUACCGCGUGGGUGAAGAAGGCCUUCGGGUUGUAAAGCCCUUUUGUUGGGAAAGAAAUCCAUCUGGUUAAUACCCGGGUGGGAUGACGGUACCCAAAGAAUAAGCACCGGCUAACUUCGUGCCAGCCGCCGCAGUAA